rnacentral:rRNA from 1 species
UACGUAGGUGGCAAGCGUUGUUCGGAAUUAUUGGGCGUAAAGGGCUCGUAGGCGGCCAACUAAGUCAGACGUGAAAUCCCUCAGCUUAACUGGGGAACUGCGUCUGAUACUGGAUGGCUUGGAUUCGGGGAGAGGAAUGCGGAAUUCCAGGUGUAGCGGUGAAAUGCGUAGAUAUCUGGAGGAAUACCGGUGGCGAAGGCGGCAUCCUGGACCGACAUUGACGCUGAACGGCGAAAGCUAGGGGAGCAAACGGG